rnacentral:rRNA from 1 species
CCUACGGGUGGCAGCAGUGGGGAAUAUUGCGCAAUGGGCGAAAGCCUGACACAGCGACGCCGCGUGAGGGAUGAAGGUCUUCGGAUCGUAAACCUCUGUCAGCAGGGAAGAACGGUCACUGUGCUAAUCAGCAGUGAAUUGACGGUACCUGCAAAGGAAGCACCGGCUAACUCCGUGCCAGCAGCCGCGGUAAUACGGAGGGUGCGAGCGUUAAUCGGAAUUACUGGGCGUAAAGCGCUCGUAGGCGGUAUGUAAGGUCAAGGGUGAAAUCCCCGCGCACAACGUGGGAACUGCCUUUGAAUCUGGCAAACUGGAGUGUGUAGGAGGAUAGUGGAAUUCCAGGUGUAGGAGUGAACUCCGUAGAUAUCUGUGGGAACAUCAGUGGCGAAGGCGACUAUCUGGCACAUAACUGACGCUGAGGAGCGAAAGCGUGGGUAGCAAACAGGAUUAGAUACCCUUGUAGUC